UCAGUGGUUUGUUAUUGAGUUAUUUGACUCUUAAAGAAUUACAGAGAAGAGGCGGAAAGCUGAACUGGUUACUAUUCUACUUCCAUAGAAACUGGAGGUUGACCCCUACCUUUAUGCUGUUUAUCCUGGUGUACACGGCCUACUUCCAGUAUUGGGGGUCGGGACCUCUCUGGCCCCUGACGUCUCCCGACUACCAGAAGUGUAAGGAUUACUGGUGGAGGAAUCUUCUGUAUAUUCAGAACUUCUUCCCCGUCAGUGAAGAGUGCAUUGGUUGGAGUUGGUACCUUGCAAAUGACAUGCAGUUUUUUAUAAUUUCACCAUUUAUAAUAUACCCCCUGUACAGG